rnacentral:lncRNA from 1 species
GCUUCCUCAAUUGCGUUCUCUUGCUUGCUUCCCUCUGGGCCCACAGCACACCCCGUGUGCUGGCUGCUUCCUGCUCCGCUCACUGCUCCAUGCUUCCAGCCUAGGGAAGGUGGCAGGGAGGCGAGCCUGGCACAACAAGGUGCCUCCCUGGGCUCGCUCCUGCUUUGCUCCUGUGUGCUCCUGGGGUCUGCCUGCAGUGGGGACCGCCAGCACUGCACACCCCAGCCUGGAAAUACCAGUGGUGGGGCUGGGGCCAGGCUGCUGGGCCAGAGCAGGGGGCAGCAGGUCUGCCCUCUUCUCACUGACGCCUGCAGAGCAAGUGUGGGGCUCAGCAACGUCCUGCUCAGCAUCCCAGGCUCUUUGCCCUGCAGCUUUGCCCUGCUCUGCUCUCCACUGCACUUGUGCAGUUGUUUUGGGUUCAGACCUGGACCAUGGUGGGUGCUGGCUGCACCAGCAGAGCCAGCCCCAGUACUGCUGGUGCAGUACCCGGCCCCCAGCCAUCCAGCUGCCUCUCCCCACCCUGCCAGGAUCCCACUUAUCCCUCUUAACCCCAUGGAGAGCUCCCUUGUGCGGUCUGCUUUGGCAGCCAGAGCAGAACCCAGCCACCCAGGUGCAGCCUGGACCUGGCCCACGGCUGCUGGGAGCUGCUGGGAGCUGCUGGGAGCUGCUGGGAGCUGCUGGGAGCUGCUGGGAGCAGGCAGCCUGCCAGACCGGUUUGCUGGCACAGCCUCCGACGUGGUACCGGGAUGUGCUGUGCACGUCACCGGCUCCUGCCCCAGCUGCACGUGUCGCCACUCACCUCCUCCCCGUGCUGUCACCCCUCCCAGCUCAGCCCAUGGCUUGCUGCAGCCAAAGGAGCUGAGGGCAAUGCCGGCUCAGGUCUCUGUGGAACAGAGCCUUGUCCCACCAACCCUGUCCUUCUGCUGGCCACAGGCUGGGCCAUCAGCCUUGCAGAGACCUCGCUGGUGCUAUCUUGGUGUUUUCUGUUCCUAUCCUUCUUUUCCACCUUGA